ensembl:rRNA 5S_rRNA 5S ribosomal RNA
UUCAGCUGUGGAUUACCCCGUAUCAACCCAAGACGGGUUAUUCACUGAAGCUAAGCAGGGCUGAGCCUGGUCAGUACAUGGAUGGGAGACCGCAUGGGAAAACUAGGUUGGUGUUGGAA